AGAGUUUGAUCCUGGCUCAGAACGAACGCUGGCGGCAGGCUUAACACAUGCAAGUUGAACGGUAUUUGGUGGUAGCUUGCUAUCAUUGAAGAGAGUAGCGCACUGGUGAGUAACACGUGGGAACGUACAUUGUAGUGGGGGACAACAGAGGGAAACUUCUGCUAAUACCGCAUAAUCCCUGAGGGGGAAAGAUUUAUCGCUAUAAUAUCGGCCCGCGGCAGAUUAGGUAGUUGGUGGGGUAAAGGCCUACCAAGCCUACGAUCUAUAGCUGGUCUGAGAGGACGAUCAGCCACAUUGGAACUGAGACACGGUCCAGACUCCUACGGAAGGCAGCAGUGAGGAAUAUUGGGCAAUGGAGGGAACUCUGACCCAGCCAUGCCGCGUGAGUGAGAAGGUUUUCGAAUUGUAAAGCUCUUUCGGGUGUGAAGAUGAUGACGGUAGCACCAGAAGAAGCCCCGGCAAACUUCGUGCCAGCAGCCGCGGUAAUACGAAGGGGGCGAGCGUUGUUCGGAAUUACUGGGCGUAAAGGGUGUGUAGGCGGUUUAAUAAGAUAGUGGUGAAAUGCCGGAGCUCAACUUUGGAAUUGCCAUUAUGACUGUUAGGCUAGAAUGAUGUAGAGGAUAGCGGAAUACCCAGUGUAGAGGUGAAAUUCGUAGAUAUUGGGUAGAACACCAGAGGCGAAGGCGGCUAUCUGGGCAUAAAUUGACGCUGAGGCACGAAAGCAUGGGGAUCAAACAGGAUUAGAUACCCUGGUAGUCCAUGCUGUAAACGAUGAAUGCUAGUUGUUGGCGUAAGUCAGUGACGGAGUAACACAAUAAGCAAUCCGACGGGGGAGUCAGAGGCAAGAUUAAAAAUCAAAAGGAUUUGAGAGGACCAGCACAAGCCGUUGGAGCAUGUGGUUGCAUGCGAUGCAACGAGAAGAACCUGACCCUCUCUUAUCAUCUUUAUCAGGAGAAGGGAGAGAUUCCUUCUUUCAGUUAGGCUGGAUAAGUGACAGAUACUGCAUGGCUGUCGUCAGAUCAUGUCGUGAGAUGUAGGGUUAAGUCCCGCAAAGAGCGCAACCCCUGAAUUCAGUUGCUAGCAAAUAAAGUUGAGCACUCUGAAAGGACUGCCGGUGACAAGCCGGAGGAAGGUGGGGAGGACGUCAAGUCCUCAUGGCUCUUACGAGAUGGGAUACACACGAGCUACAAUGGUGUCUGCUGAGAGAAGCGGAGCCGUGAGGCGGAGCCAAUCUAUAAAAGGUAUCUCAGUUCGGAUUGUUAUCUGCCACU
rnacentral:rRNA from 1 species